GACGAACGCUGGCGGCGUGCUUAACACAUGCAAGUCGAACGCUGAAGCUCAGCUUUUGUUGGGUGGAUGAGUGGCGAACGGGUGAGUAACACGUGAGUAACCUGCCCCCUUCUUUGGGAUAACGCCCGGAAACGGGUGCUAAUACUGGAUAUUCACUGGUCUUCGCAUGGGGGUUGGUGGAAAGGGUUUUUCUGGUGGGGGAUGGGCUCGCGGCCUAUCAGCUUGUUGGUGGGGUGAUGGCCUACCAAGGCUUUGACGGGUAGCCGGCCUGAGAGGGUGACCGGGAACAUUGGGACUGAGAUACGGCCCAGACUCCGACGGGAGGGAGCAGUGGGGAAUAUUGGACAAUGGGCGCAAGACUGAUGCAGCGACGCCGCGUGAGGGAUGGAGGCCUUCGGGUUGUGAACCUCUUUCGCUCAUGGUCAAGCCGAAACAAUGGUUGUGGUGAGGGUAGUGGGUAAAGAAGCGCCGGCUAACUACGUG
rnacentral:rRNA from 1 species